rnacentral:rRNA from 1 species
UUGAGCUUGAUCCCUGGCUCAGGACGAACGCUGGCGGCGUGCUUAACACAUGCAAGUCGAGCGGUAAGGCCUUUCGGGGUACACGAGCGGCGAACGGGUGAGUAACACGUGGGUGAUCUGCCCUGCACUUCGGGAUAAGCCUGGGAAACUGGGUCUAAUACCGGAUAUGACCUCCUAUCGCAUGGUGGGUGGUGGAAAGAUUUAUCGGUGCAGGAUGGGCCCGCGGCCUAUCAGCUUGUUGGUGGGGUAAUGGCCUACCAAGGCGACGACGGGUAGCCGACCUGAGAGGGUGACCGGCCACACUGGGACUGAGACACGGCCCAGACUCCUACGGGAGGCAGCAGUGGGGAAUAUUGCACAAUGGGCGAAAGCCUGAUGCAGCGACGCCGCGUGAGGGACGACGGCCUUCGGGUUGUAAACCUCUUUCAGCAGGGACGAAGCGCAAGUGACCGGUACCUGCAGAAGAAGCACCGGCUAA